rnacentral:rRNA from 1 species
UACAGAGGUCUCAAGCGUUGUUCGGAUUCAUUGGGCGUAAGGGGUGCGUAGGCGGCGCGGUAAGUCGGGUGUGAAAUUUCGGAGCUCAACUCCGAAACUGCAUUCGAUACUGCCGUGCUUGAGGACUGGAGAGGAGACUGGAAUUUACGGUGUAGCAGUGAAAUGCGUAGAGAUCGUAAGGAAGACCAGUGGCGAAGGCGGGUCUCUGGACAGUUCCUGACGCUGAGGCACGAAGGCCAGGGGAGCAAACGGG